CCAUUUCUUCAACCCGAUCACCCGAAAAGGCGACCCGGCCGUAUCUCCACCUUCCGGUCGAUUCACGGUGUCGCAUGGAUGGCGUUAUCCUCAACUCGAUGGCGAGAAGCUGAAAGUGGAUUUGGCUUGCUCAACCAAAUCGUCACGAUAGCAAAACGAAUCCCGAAAGCUACGGCGGUUUCGAUGCAUUCUCCGGCGACUCCGAUCACCGACGAUAGCAACUGAGAAUUGGUUGAGUUGGUGAGAUGAAGUGAGCUAUCUCUGUAAAUGGAAUGGUUGACGUGCUUCAGAAUAUAGUUCGUACGUUGUUUCCAGACUAAGAGCAUGGACUUGGCGAAAUGGAACUACAAUGAAGUCUGGGAUUUCAUAAUUAUUAGCAUGUAUCAUUGAAGAUUGGAGACUGAGGAGAAGCAAGUGGUCAGAUUAAGGUUGUGGUGGAAGCUCUGUCAUUUGGACAUGAAUUGAAGCUGUGAAGAACAAUGACAACGUGCAUGUACCUUGGACCAAGAACCCAGCUGAAUAAAGAGACAAAAUUGGUCAAAAUUUUAGGUAAGGUAAGCUGGAAUUUCUUUCAAGGGUAUGAAGUCAUGAUACUGUAAAUAUGAAAUUUGCGAUGUUCGAAUUAAGUUGCAAAGCUUUAGCUCCUGUAAUCGUGGUUCGAUAUUAUCUGGAAGCUAAGGAAUGAAUUUGUCAGAGUCAUUAUCACAAGUUCCUGUGAUUUUGCAUAGUUAAUGGUUAAGGCAUUAAGCCAGCGGGAUAAUUAUAAGUUUGUUUGUGGUAUAUAUGAAAACUAUGA